rnacentral:rRNA from 1 species
CAGCCGCCGCGGUAAUACCGGCGGCCCGAGUGGCGGCCACUCUUAUUGGGCUUAAAGCGUCCGUAGCCGGGUUGGUUAGUCUCCCGGGAAAUCUGGCCGCUUAACGGUCAGAAUUCCGGGAGAUACUGCCAGCCUAGGGACCGGGAGAGGCCGAGGGUAUUCCCGGAGUAGGGGUGAAAUCCUAUAAUCCCGGGAGGACCACCUGUGGCGAAGGCGCUCGGCUGGAACGGGUCCGACGGUGAGGGACGAAGGCCAGGGGAGCAAACCGGAUUAGAUACCCGGGUAGUCCUGGCGGUAAAGGAUGCGGGCUAGGUGUCGGGUGAGCUUCGAGCUCGCCCGGUGCCGGAGGGAAGCCGUUAAGCCCGCCGCCUGGGGAGUACGGCCGCAAGGCUGAAACUUAAAGGAAUUGGCGGG